CCUACGGGGGGCUGCAGUGGGGAAUAUUGCGCAAUGGGGGAAACCCUGACGCAGCAACGCCGCGUGAGUGAGGAAGGACUUCGGUCUGUAAAGCUCUGUUAAUGAGGAAAUGGUACUCAUAGAGGAAGCACCGGCUAACUUCGUGCCAGCAGCCGCGGUAAUACGAAGGGUGCAAGCGUUGUUCGGAUUUAUUGGGCGUAAAGCGCGCGUAGGCGGACCCGCAAGUCAGAUGUGAAAUCUCGAGGCUCAACCUCGAAACUGCGUCUGAAACUACGGGUCUAGAAUCUCGGAGGGGGAAGGGGAAUAUCGCAUGUAGGGGUAAAAUCCGUAGAUAUGCGAUGGAACACCAGAGGCGAAGGCGCCUUCCUGGACGAGAUUGACGCUGAGGCGCGAAAGCGUGGGGAUCAAACAGGAUUAGAUACCCUGGUAGUC
rnacentral:rRNA from 1 species